rnacentral:sRNA from 1 species
GUCAUAAACAAGCCAUGCAAGGUUUCAAGCUCUACAUGCCACGGGGUCGGUACUGGCGGCUUCGUCUCUGUCCUGAACCUCCCAGUGCUCCUAGUGAGUAUGCUGGUUUAGUGGUCCGCACCGUACUGGAGCCUGUGUUGCAAGGAUUGCAAGGGUUGCCACCUCAAGCCCAGGCCCCUGCCCUUGGUCAGGCUCUGACAGCCAUCGUGGGUGCCUGGCUUGACCACAUUCUUACCCAUGGGAUUCGGUUCAGCCUGCAGGGAGCGCUGCAGCUCAAACAAGACUUUGGAGUGGUCAGGGAAUUGCUGGAAGAGGAGCAGUGGAGCCUGUCCCCUGAUCUCCGCCAGACCCUGCUCAUGCUCAGCAUCUUCCAGCAGCUGGAUGGGGCCCUGCUGUGUCUGUUGCAGCAGCCCCUGCCCAAGUCUCAAGUCCACAGGAGGCCCCCCUGUUGCUGUGAGUUACUCCCCUUCGCUCACUGCUUUGUGUGUCCCAAACCCCAUUCUCACCAUUAAUCUGGCUUCAGUAUAUCCCCAGCAGCCACCUACCUUCCACUCCUGCCUUACCAGGUGCUUGUCAGGAGGUCCAGACCACGAAAUUGCCCAGCAGCUGCCUCAAUAGCCUGGAGAGCUUGGAGCCCCCCCUCCAGCCUGGAACAUCUCCAGGCCAGACAGGUCAGCUGCAAAGCACACUAGGAGGAGGGGGACCUAGCCCGGAGGGCUACCUGGUGGGAAAUCAGCAGGCCUGGCUUGCCCUCAGGCAACACCAGCGACCCCGUUGGCACCUGCCGUUUUUUUCCUGCCUGGGAACCAG